UUGCUUCUGCAACUGAGGAUGUCAGUCAGAGGACUAGUCUGUGUCUGCAUUUUGGUACACUCGGUAGAUCACGACAGAACGAUCUGGCUGCCAUGGACCCAGCAGGUUCAGAUGACCUCUGCCAAGCCACAGACGAACACCACAAAGCCCUGGCCUUACAGGGAACCCAUCUCAUGGGUUUGGCUCACUACUCCAGGGCCAACUGCAUUUCUCUCCAGCAGAAGCAAGCCGGGCUGAAGAGCGCAAGGAUCUUGUAGAAUCCCAC